UAAUAAAAUAGUCACCAUAGAGAAACAAAUUAACAUAUCCAUCAUCUCACAUAAUUAUACAUUUUCCCCUUGUGUCAAGAACAACCAUAAUCUGAUUUAGCAAAAAUCUGGAAUACAAUACACUAACUACAGUCCUCUGCACAUUCGAUCUUUAGACUUGUUCAUCCUAAAUACCUGUUACUUGGUAUCCUCUCACCUACAUCUUAUUUCAUCUCCCUCCUCCCACCUCUAGUAACCACUGUUUUAUUCUCUAUCUCUGUGGGUAUUACACAUUGUUUUUUAGAUUCCACAUGUAAAUGAGGUCAUCUAAUAUCUUUCUUUCUAUGCCUGGCUUAUUUCUCUUAGCAUAAAACCCUCCAGGUUAUGUAUAUUGUAGCAAAUGGCAGGAUCUCCUUAUUUAAAGCUGAAUCAUAUUCCACUUAAUAUUUCAUAAUGUGUUCAUCCCUUGACAGAUACUUUGAUUGCUUUCAUAUCUUGGCUAAUGUUAAUAUAGGUCGGGUUUGGUUCCGAACCAUUUCAACAAAGUGAGUAUUACAAUAAAGCAAGUCACAUGAAUUUCUUGGUUUCCCAGUGCAUAUAAAAAUAUAUUUACACCAUACUGUGGCUUAUUAUAUGUGAAAUAGCACUAUAUCUUUAAAAAAAUACUUUGAUUAAAAAUACUUUAUUGCUAACAAAAAUGCUAAUGAUCAACAGUAUUCAGUGAAUGUUUUUGCUGGUAGAGGGCCCUGUCUUGAUGUUGAUGGCUGCUGACAGAUCAGGAUGUGGUUCCUGAGGGUUGGGGUGGCUGUGGUAACUUCGUAAAACAAAAAUGAUGUUUGCUGCAUUGACUGAUCUUUCUUAUCACAAAAUAUUUCUUUGUAGCAUGCAAUGCUGUUUUACAGCAUUUUAAUCAGAGUACAACCUCUUUCAAAAUUGGAGUCAGUCCUCUCAAACUCUGCCUCAUCUUUGUCAAUUAAGUUUAGGUGAUAUUAAUAUUUAACUAUUUUGUCAUUUCAACAGAGUUCACAACAUCUUCACCAGGAGUAGAUUACUUCUUAUGAAGCCACUUUACUCAUCCAUAAUAAGCAACUGCUUAACCAUUAAAGUUUUCUUUAAAAUUAAUUGUAAUAGUUUUGGGGUUAUAGGUGGUUUUUGGUUACAUGGAUAAAUUCUGUAGUGGUGAUUCUGAGAUUUCAGUGCACCCAUCACCUGAGCAGUGUACAUUGUACCCAAUAUGUAGUGUUUUAUCUCUUGCCCCUCUCCCAACCUUCAAGUCCCCAAAGACCAUUAUGUCAUUCUUGUACUUUUGUGUCCUCAUAGCUUACCUCCCACCUAUAAAAGAGAGCAUACAAUAUUUACUUUUCCAUUCCUGAGUUACUUCACUUAGUAUUAACGGCCUCACACUCCAUCCAAGUUGCUGCAAAAGACAUUGUUUUGUUCCAUUUUAUGGCUGAAUAGUAUUCCAUGGUGGAUAUAUAUACACCACUAUUAAAGUUUUAUCGUGAGAUUACAGCAAUUCAGUCACAUCUUCAGGCUCUACUUCUAAUUAUCUUGCUAUUUCCACCACAUCUUCAGUUACAUCCUCCACUGGUCUUAAACCCCUCAAAACUCUCCCUGAGGGUUUGCAUUAAACUUCCACCCACCUCCUGCUAAUGUUGAUAUUUUGACUUCUCUCAUGAAUCACAAAUAUUCUUAAUGGUGUCUAGAAUGGUGGAUCCUUCUAAGAAUUUUUUCAAUUUAUUUUUCCCAGAUCCAUUAGAAGAAUCACUAUCUAUGGCAGCUAUUGCCUUACAAAAUGUGUUUCUUAAAUAAUAAGACUUUCAAGUCAAAAUUGCUCUUUGAUCCAUGCACAGCAUAAUUGAUGUUGUGUUAGCAGGCCUGAAAACAAUGUUAAUCUCCUUGUGUAUCUCCAUCAGAGCUCUUGGAUGACCAGGUGCACUGUCAAUGAACAGUACUAUUUUGAAAAGAAUCUUUUAUUCUGAGCAGUAGGUCUCAACAAUGGAAUUAAAAUAUUUAGUAAACCAUGCUGCAAACAGCUGUCAUCUAGGCUUUGCUAGUCUGCUUAAAGCCUACAGGCCGAGUACAUUUAAUUCUUAAGAACUCUAGGAUUUUUGAAGUGGCCAAUAAGUAUUGACUUUAAGUCACCAGCUACAUUAGCCCCUAACUAGAGAAUCUUCCUGUUCUUUGAAGCUUUGAAGCCAAGCACUGACUCCUCUUCUCUAGCUGUGAAAGUCCUAGAUGGCAUCUUUUUCUAAUAUAAGACCAUUUUAUUUACACUAAAAACCCGUUGUUUAGUAUAGACACUUUCAUCAGUUAUCUUAGCUAGAUUUUCUAGAUAACUUGCUGCAGCUUCUACAUUAGAACUUGCUGCUUCACUUUGUGCUUUUCUGUUAUAAAGGUGGCUUUUUUUUUUUUUCUUAAACCUCAUGAACCAACCUCUGCUAGCUUCCAACUUUUCUUCUGUAGCUUACUCAUCUACCUCAGCCUUCACAAAAUUGAAAGAGAGUUAGGGCCUUUCUCUGAAUUAGGGUUUGGUUUACAGGAAUGUUGUGGCUACUUUGAUCUUCUAUCCAGACGACUAAAAUAUUUUCCAUAUCAGCAAUAAGGCUAUUUUACUUUCUUAUCAUUCAGGUAUUUACUGGAACAACAGUUUAAAUCUCUUUCAAGAACUUUUCCUUUGCAUUCACAACUCAGCCCACUGUUUGGCCCAAGAGGCCUAGUUUUUGGCCUAUUUCAGCUUUCAACAUGCCUUCCUCACUAAGCUCAAUCAUUUCUAGCUUUAAAGUGAGAGGUGGGUGACUCUUUCUUUCACUUGAACACUUAGAAGUCACUAUAGUGUUAUUAAUUUGUCUAGUUUCUAUAUUGCUGUGUCUCAGGAAAUAGGGAGAUGGGGGUAGGGAGUAUAGGGAGUAGAGACAGACAAGGAUAGAGAGACAGAGAGAGAGACAAAGACAGAGAGAUAGAAAGAGAGAAACAGAGACAGACACAGAGACAGAGAGAGAGAGAGACAGAGAGAGAGAGACAGAGAGAGAGAGAGGGAGGAAGGGCAGGUGGGUGAAGAAGAACACAGACAAUAUUAAGUUCACAAUCUUUUGAGUGUGGUUCAUGGCCCCCCAAAAGUUAUAAUAGUAACAUCAAAGAUCACAGAUCACCAUAACAGAUAUAGUAAGAAAAAAAGUAGAAAUGUAAGAAUUACCAAAAUGUAACAGAGUUGCAAAGUGAACACCGGCUGGUAGAAAAAUGGUGCCAAUAGAGUUCCUGGAUGCAGGGUUGCCAGAAACCUUCCAUUUAUUAAAAGAUAUCUGUGAAGCACAGUAAAGCAAAGCACAAUAAAACAAGAUAUACCUGUAUUUGUUUCUAAAUAUAAAAAUAAUGUUUUUAAUGCUGAACAAAAAUGUCCCAUGUAAAAACUUCAUGUAUUAUCUGUUCCCAAACUCAGUUUCCACACCUAAUUACAGUAACUAAAAAGGAGAGAAAAGCCAAACUUUCGAGAUGGAGAGGAGAACCCAGGACAGCCUCAAACCCAACACUUAGAAUAGUAUUUCUGCACUAAUAAUCUGCUUGCCCAAUCUACAGCAAACUUUCAAACUUAAGAAGGUGAGAGAAUGGAUAAAACAUUACAAAAGACAGUAUUACAUUUGAAAAAUUGGUAAGAUACUAGACUAUUUGGAUCUGGAAGGACUUUAAAUUAAUCUUUGCUCCCUACAUUCACGUAAGCUUUAAUGUGUACCAAAUUCUAUCCCCAAAUCUCUAUUCUUUGUGACCCUACUGUACCCUACACAGAUUUUUAUUGACUCAAUAUUCCUUUGCACUUAAUUUGUUUUUCAGUCUCAGCUAGACCUGAAACAACUUUAGGAAAAGGAUAGUGCCGUCUUGCUUACUUUUAUUUUUCCUACCAACUAGAACACUAAUAGUCAUUCAAAUGUUUAUUGAAUGAAGUAACGGAUAAUCAAAUGAAUUAGUAUAAUUAGUUGCUUAUAUUUUACCCCCCACACUAGCCUAUAGCUUUAAAGUUGUAGUGACUACAAUGUCUAGUCACUUAACCUCACAGUGUAGAUUUGCACAACUAAUAAGAUUUUGAAUGGGAAAGUGCUUAAAAAUUCUAAAGUGCUUCUCUAAUAUUUGUUACUAUUGUGUUCAAAGACUGUUAGCUACCAAAUGAAGGUUUCAUAUUCAACAGAGGAGGCCGAGUCUCAGAUAAUUGAGGCCUGUGCUACUCCAAGUGUGAUCCUUGGAGUAUCUGAUUCAGCAUCCAACAAACAAGAAUCACCUCAACCCAAAACCCUAACCCAAAUAGCCAUUAUUACUACUUCUUUCCAAUCUCUGUCUCCACCUUCUCCAAUAAUGAUAAAUUCUUAAAGCUUGAAUACAUCUUUUAGCUAUAAAUUUGGGUUAUUUCUGCAUGUAAUUUUACAGUUAUUUUAUUUCAUUCUUGUGAGUUAGAGUUAAGCUCUGAAGAGGUCUUAUUUUGAUGCCUUUCCAUAAGAUUGCAUUCCUUUUUUGGCAAGAGAACAGAUCUGGAGUUGAGCUCCUGCCCUCUAUCAGACUAUGAGAUUUGAGACAAGUCACUUGUCCCCCAUGCCAACCCCUGGGGCCUCACUUUUCUCAUUCAAAAAGAUCAAAGACUUUUGUCCUAAUGCAUGAAUUUGUGAACAUUACAUGUAAAAUUACCUUAGAAACUAUAAAAUAUUCAUUUCAAAUGCACCAACAUGUUAUUAGCUAUAUUUUCUGAGCUCAGCAGUCCUUGAUGGUCCUGAAGGACCAAAGGGGCUGAGGCCAAAGAGAAUUCUCUUUAAAUCUCUUGGAAACAACCUGACAGACCUUAGAAUUGUGUAGUAAGAUGAGGGCAUAAGGGAACAGAGGGUCAAGGUAGUAUCUUAGCUGCUUUCUCCCAAAAGUGUUGAUACUGGUUAAGAUACACAAAAGGGAAAACCCACCCAAGAAAUUGCCAGCAAUUUUUUUUUUUCAUUUUGAUUUCAUGCUAAUUUAAUAAUUAUGUCUUAGUGUAACUAAGCUUUUCUUCAUCAAGAACAUUAUAAGCUCCUUGAUGCACAGGCUAAACCUUUAUGCUUAUGCGGUGUUUUUUAAUCUGUCUAGCAUAGAGUAGGGCACAACAUAAGUCUUCAGUGUGCCUUUGCUGAAUUAAAAUACAAAAAAAAAUAGCACAUCUUGCAAUACUUGAAGCUCAUUUUUAUAAAGUAUAUGUGUGUAGUGGGGAAUUCUAAAAACUAUUUUUUACUGGCACUAGUUUGUUUAAUCAAGAGAAAAUAUCCUCAUAAAGUAAAACAAAGAGAAAGGACAGUACAAAUAGCACUCAAAGCUUGAGCUUAGCAACUGCUCUCCUGUUCUUAGUCUUGCCACUGUGUGGAAUGCAGGAUUUAUAUAUGCAGAUAGCUUGUUACUUGCAAACCAUUAGGCCAAGCUUGUCCAACCCACAGCCCACAGGGUGCAUGCAGCCCAGGACAACUUUGAGUGUAGCCCAACACAAAUUUGUAAACUUUCUUAAAACAUUGAGUUUUUGCAAUUUUGGGGGGAGAUCAUAAGCUAUUUUUAGUGUUGGUGUUUUUUUAUGUGUGGCCCAAGACAAUUCUUCUUCCACUGUGGCCCAGGGAAGCCAAAAGAUUGAACACCUCUGCAUUAGACCCUUUUAAUACUAUUAUAGAUAAUAUAUUUUUUGACAUAAAAAAAUCACCUGUGUACCAGUCAGAAAUGAAGGUUUUGUAUGAAACAUUUUCAUUCUAUAGUAUGAAUAGCCCAAGAGUCUCCUGAGUAUUUCUCCAGCCCUGGCCCCUCACCUCACCAUCUCUUAGGUGUCCCCAGGUGUGGCCCAGGUGUUUUAAUCUUCUGGGUGAUCUGAUUCAACCUCUUGACUUUAAAUGGCUUCUAUAUGAUGAUAAUUUUCAGUUUAAGCCUCCCUUCAGAAUUCCAGUUUCUCAAAUCCAUCUGGUUAUUCAACAUUUCCACUUUGAUAUUUAAGAGACACUUUGGAUUCAGAAGAGCUAAAACAGAACUUUGGAUUCCCCAGACUUGCAUGUCCUCCAGAGUUUCUCAUCUCUUAAAUUUGAUUCAGGUGUACAAACUCCACAUUUGUCAUCAUUCUUGGGCCCCUGUUCAGUCAAGAAGUCCUGUUGACUCUACCUCAAUAACAAAUUGCUCACACGUUUCUUUUCCUCCAGCUACUCAUGCUGUAGUGUAAGUCACCAUCAUUUCUUGCUUGAACUCUGCAAUAGCUGCCCAAUUGAUCUCCCUCAUUCUACUUCUGCUUCCCUAAAGUCCAUUCUUCAUACUGAAGCCAAAGUAAUCUUUAAGAAUUAUACAUCUAACCAAAACACUUCUUCACAACAAAGAAAACAAUCAAUAAAAUGAAAAGGUAACCUACAGGUUGAGGAAAACAUAUUUUCAAACCAUAUAUCUAGUAAGGGGCUAUCUUCCAAAAUUUAUAAAGAACUCACACAGCUCAAUCACAAGAAAACAUAUAACCCGAUUUUAAAAAUAGACAAAGGAACCUGAAUAGACAUUCCUCUAAAAGGAGACAAAAAUUGCCAACAUAUAUGUGAAAAGAUACUUAGCCUAACUAAUCACCAGAGACAUGCUAAUUAAAACCACCAUGAGAUAUCACCUCAUACCUAUUAGGGUAGGUAUUAUCAAAAAGACAAGAGACAACAUGUGUUGAUGAGGGUGUGGAGAAAAGGGAACCCUGUAUGCUGUGGGUGGGAAUUUGGAUUGGUCCAGCCAUUACAGAAAACAGUAUGGAAGUUCCUAAAUUAAAAAUGGAAUUGCCAUAUAACCCAGCAAUACCUUUUCUGAGUAUAUACCCAAGGGAAAGGAAAUUACCAUCAUGUAGAGAUAUCUACACUCCAUGUUCAUUGCAGCAUUACUGUACCAUGUUAUGAAACGGGUUCCUUCACCCCUUUUCUGAGCACCCUCCAUGUCUACAGAGGAAGUUAUGAGGAAUAAAUGUAUAUGCAGGGCUCGUUUUGUAAUGCUGACAACAGCAGUCCUCACAGCCAGAAUUCCAUGUUUAGGUACAGGGUUCUCUACUUUCAUUCUAAGUCAAACUGUGAUUCAGAAAUGAGCCAUCCAUCCUCCCAGAAGAAUUCCUCCAUUCACCCCAUAGACACAAAAGUCACAAUCUAUGAAAAUGUUUUUGUAUAUUUCAUAGGAGAAACAGAUGCGGAGGCUUAACUCAUGCAUCCAAUGCCAAAAGUCUUCAAAAUCUUCAUUAGUUAUUUGUUAUUCCAACUUUUUUCUCAGCCCUCCUGGUUUGUAAUUUUUUAAAUCUUUACACAGUGUUGCACUAAGACUGUUGAGAUGGUUCCCUCUGCCUUCAUCUCUCUAGUAUUCUCCCUGAGAAGUUUAAAAUAUAUAAUGUUAUGCAAAGUAAUUCACUGGGGCCUUCCUCUUGGGCCUCACCUCUAUACACUGAAGACAAUGCCUUCUAGCAAGGAGGACCCAUGCUUCCGGAGAGGAGGGCUUGCAACUGGAGUAACUUGAGUAUGUCUUUGGGAUUCUUGAGCUCGACCCCAAGCAGUUCAGAAACAUUUCUUUGAAACAAUUUCCCAAGAUGAAUUCUAACAACUGUAAUAUGGCAUUUGGCAUUUUAAAAUUUUUGAUUUUACAUUUUGACAGGGCUAUUAGGACAUGGUGAGAUAAAAAUGGUUGUAUCAAAAUAUACUGUUUCAAAUCAAAUUAUUGUAUUAUUUGUUCUCAGUGACAAACAUAACCCAAACACGUUCUUAAUACCCACAGUAAAGGCAUAGCCACAAAAUCAGGCAGUUAUUAAUACAAACCUAGUGUAGCUAGUUAAUGAAAGAUGAAAAUGAAGUUGUGACCUGAUUAUGAACUACUAUUAGCAAGCAAUGUCAUUUUGUAUCUUAGAGACCAAACAAGGUUUAUGUAUGUGAACUAAUGGUUGACUUAUACAGUAAAGAUAUACAUGCAUUAUAUUCAGGCUUUGUUGGCUUCAUUUGAAACUACAGCUUCCAUGGGUUUAAAAAAUACACAUAUUAUUUACAAGGUGACAACCCUAAAUUUUCAUAUAUUCGAUUGUUCAGACCAGUGAUUUCUAGAAUGUAAGUGGUGUCCUACUUGUAAGAGUUUCAAAACAGGCAAUUUUGGAAUAGGUAAAUUACUCAGUAGAAGGCUUAGAGAACCCAAAUUGCUGAUGUAUCUUUUUCAAAAUGCCUCUUAUUAUCUAAGAGAAUGCGUGUACUGCAAGUAUCUUAUUCUUUAAGUCUCACACUUAGACUGCUUAUGUUUCCUACUUUUAAAAAUUGUAGAACUUUGUUCUACAGAUGUCAUUUGAUGCCUUUUGAGACCGACCAUAUAUGCAUUUAUACAAUCUUAAUUCAAUGUUAAAAGUAUAAUUAGUCCAAAAAAAAAAUCAACUAAAUGGCAACAAGGGUUUUUCUUUUUCUAUAUUAUUAAAUUUUUUUUCCUCCAUCUAUAACUUUCCAGCUGCUCUUUGUGAAGUUCCCAGAAUAAUGAUUAACAUUAUUAAACCAGAGACUAAAAAUCUUGGUACGGACUGACCCAUGGGGACACAUUGCUAUAAUUUCUUUAAAGUAAAAUAAUAAAAGGGGCGUCCCAUAGUGGGCAAAAGUCGAACUCAUCCUCAAAAUUUACUCUAUUUGUCAAAGUCACCUGAAAGAGUUCUUAGGCGUGGUUGGAAUUGGCUGUCAGAACCAGGUGUUCUCAAGUGUCUUGCCUUUGUGGUUCGCCUACCUGGGUUUCCCAGUCCUUGGUUGAACAUUAAUGUUCUUAAUGAGAUAUAAUACUGAAUAUAACUCUAGUGAUCUCUUCCAGUGGAGGCUGAGGCCAUUUCUAAAAAUUCCUUCCCUCUAUUCCUUCUACAGUAUCUACCUCUCUGUGUGCAUGCAUGUGAGAGGCAUAGUUUUCCCUCAAUGUACUUCAAAUAAACCUUAUUGGCAUAGUUUUCCUCAAAGCACUUCCAGUAAACUUUAUCCAUGAUUGUCCUGUAGUUUACAGACACUGAUAUUGUAUUCUUUGGAGUGAAGAGGGGUUUUGCCACUCUUACAAAAAAAAAAAAAAAAA